UUCACAAGAGACUUUUUUUGC
rnacentral:siRNA from 1 species